CCGUAGGAGUCCGGGCGGAGUCUACUUGCGGUUGAAGUUAUCGACGGAAUCCGGCUCCCGUAGGAGUCCGGACGAAGUCUGUCUGCAGCCGUUGGAGUCGAGGACGAAGCCCGGCUCCCGUAGGAGUUCGGGCGGAGUCUUCCUGCAAUUAAAGUCAAAGGUGAAGUCCGGCUCCCGUAGGAGUCCGGACAAGGCUUACC
rnacentral:lncRNA from 1 species